rnacentral:rRNA from 1 species
UUAAAAAGCUCGUAGUUGGAUCUAGGGACGCGCAUUUCAAGCGCCCGUGUCGUCGGGUCAAACCGGCGACUGCGUUGGCGUUGCGGGCUCGGUCCGUCGGUGCCCCACAAAGGGCUACUGGCGUGUCAACCGGCCCGCCCGUCCCCUCCUUCUGGAUUCCCGUUCCUGCUAUUGAGUUAGUGGGGACGUCACAGGGGGCUCAUCGUCGUCGGGUCAAACCGGCGGCGGUGGGUCCCUGGGGCCCAGAUCGUUUACCGUGAAAAAAUUAGAGUGUUCAAAGCAGGCAGAUCCAAUUUUCUGCCACCGAAUACAUUAGCAUGGGAUAAUGGAAUAGGACCCUGUCCUCCUAUUUUCAGUUGGUUUUGGCAGCGCGAGGACUAGGGUAAUGAUUAAUAGGGAUAGUUGGGGGCAUUAAUAUUUAAUUGUCAGAGGUGAAAUUCUUGGAUUUAUGAAAGAUUAACUUCUGCGAAAGCAUCUGCCAAGGAUGUUUUCAUUAAUCAAGAACGAAAGUUAGGGGAUCGAAGACGAUCAGAUACCGUCGUAGUCUUAACCAUAAACGAUGCCGACCAGCGAUUAGGAGACGUUGAAUACAAAACACCACCAUCGGCGCGGUCGUCCUUGGCGUCGGUCCUUCACGGGGCCGGCGCGAGGGCGGCUUAGCCCGGUGGCACCGGUGAAUGACUCCCCUAGCAGCUUGUGAGAAAUCAUAAGUCUUUGGGUUCCGGGGGGAGUAUGGUCGCAAGGCUGAAAC